rnacentral:misc_RNA from 1 species
AAGUCGUAACAAGGUAACCGUAGGUGAACCUGCGGUUGGAUCAUUAUUGAUUUAACUUUGAUUUGAAGGUAGAGACUUUCCAAACUUUGAUUUGAUAAGUGAAUCUUUGGGUUUAUUUGUUAAAGUUAAGGUUAGGUUAGACUCCUUUCAAGUUAAAAUUAACACCGUGUGAACUGUAUUGUAUUCAAAUCAUAAGUAUUAAUUUACUAUUGAUUUGAACUUAACAAACCCCUUUAACAUUUGCCUUAGAAAUUUUUGUAAAAAGAAAUUAAAACAACUUUUGACAACGGAUCUCUAGGCUCUC